rnacentral:rRNA from 1 species
CCUACGGGAGGCAGCAGUGGGGAAUAUUGGACAAUGGGGGGAACCCUGAUCCAGCGACGCCGCGUGAGUGAAGAAGUAUUUCGGUAUGUAAAGCUCUAUCAGCAGGGAAGAAAGAAAUGCCGGUACCUGACUAAGAAGCCCCGGCUAACUACGUGCCAGCAGCCGCGGUACUACGUAGGGGGCAAGCGUUAUCCGGAUUUACUGGGUGUAAAGGGAGCGUAGACGGCGAUGCAAGUCUGAAGUGAAAGGCGGGGGCCCAACCUCCGGACUGCUUUGGAAACUGUAUGGCUGGAGUGCAGGAGAGGUAAGUGGAAUUCCUAGUGUAGCGGUGAAAUGCGUAGAUAUUAGGAGGAACACCAGUGGCGAAGGCGGCUUACUGGACUGUAACUGACGUUGAGGCUCGAAAGCGUGGGGAGCAAACAGGAUUAGAUACCCUUGUAGUC